UGGGUUGUGGCUUCGUGGUAGAGCGCUUGCCUAGCAAGUAUGAGGCACUGAGUUCAGUUCUCAGCCAUAUAU
rnacentral:tRNA from 1 species